UACAGGUGGGGCUAGCGUUAUUCAUAUUGAUUGGGCGUAAAGGGCGUGUAGAUGGUUUAUUAAGUUGGGAAUGAAAAACUAAAGCAUAACUUUUUUAAAUUUCUUAAUACUGAUAAGACUUGAGUAGAUGAAAGGAUAGCAGUAUUUUCGAAGUAGAGGUAAAAUUCAUAGAUAUCGGAAGGACUCUCAUUGGGCGAAGGCAGCUAUCUAGGAUAAUUACUGACAUUGAGGCGCGGAGGCAUGGGGAUCAAACGGG
rnacentral:rRNA from 1 species